GAGUUUGAUCGUGGCUCAGGACGAACGCUGGCGGCGUGCCUAAUACAUGCAAGUCGAGCGAGUCUCUUCGGAGGCUAGCGGCGGACGGGUGAGUAACACGUAGGCAACCUGCCUCUCAGACCGGGAUAACAUAGGGGAAACUUAUGCUAAUACCGGAUAGGUUUUUGGAUUGCAUGAUCCGAAAAGAAAGAUGGCUUUUCGCUAUCACUGGGAGAUGGGCCUGCGGCGCAUUAGCUAGUUGGUGGGGUAACGGCCUACCAAGGCGACGAUGCGUAGCCGACCUGAGAGGGUGACCGGCCACACUGGGACUGAGACACGGCCCAGACUCCUACGGGAGGCAGCAGUAGGGAAUUUCCACAAUGGACGAAAGUCUGAUGGAGCAACGCCGCGU
rnacentral:rRNA from 1 species